ACUCUGGUGCUCGGAGACGGUGCCGCACUCAGAAGGGCUCUCCCCCACCCCGGACCUCCACGGCCCCUGCCUGUAGGUAGGUGGGUGGUCCCCUCAGCCUUCCCGGGGAGGGGGAGGCCGGUCCCCGCCCGCCCCCCGGCCGGGCUCCUACCUGGAGGCCUGCAGCUCCCGCGGGGCGGGCCCACCUCCGCCUGGGCCCCGGCGUUUAUAGCUGCGCUCGCGGCCGGCCGGGCUGGCAAAUAUUUGGCGACUGCAUUGUCCUCGCAGACUGGGCAAAUAGAGCCCGUUUGCUUUAGCGCCCGGCAACCGGGGCCCCGCGGGGGGGCCUCGACCUGCCAAGGGACCAUGGAGUGUUUGCCGCGGGCCCAGCUGGCUCACACCGGGGCCGAGGACCCUUAUCUCCGCCACCGACUGGGACCCGGACCAAGCUUUGUCAAAUAGGCGGAAAAUUAAAUUUCAUGCUAUUUUGACUUCUGGAGUAGCCCUUCUCUAGUGCGCGUCUGCCCGUGUGGUUCUCCGGGUGAACGGCGCUCCGGGCCG
rnacentral:lncRNA from 1 species